rnacentral:rRNA from 1 species
UUCGCCACGCCCGCUCAAGAAACUUAAAGGAAUUGACGGGGCCCGCACAAGCAGCGGAGCAUGUGGUUUUAAUUCGAAGCAACGCGAAGAACCUUACCAAGACUUGACAUCCCCUGACAGCUGUUGAAAGGCAGUGUCUCUUCGGAGCAGGGAGACAGGUGGUGCAUGGUUGUCGUCAGCUCGUGUCGUGAGAUGUUGGGUUAAGUCCCGCAACGAGCGCAACCCUUAUCCUUAGUUACCAGCACGUAAAGGUGGGGACUCUAGGGAGACCGCCGGGGACGACUCGGAGGAAGGUGGGGACGACGUCAAAUCAUCAUGCCCCUUAUGUCUUGGGCUACACACGUGCUACAAUGGCCGCAACAGAGGGAAGCGAGAGCGCAAGCUGGAGCAAAACCCUAAAAAGCGGUCCCAGUUCGGAUUGUGGGCUGCAACCCGCCCACAUGAAGUCGGAGUUGCUAGUAAUCGCGAAUCAGCAUGUCGCGGUGAAUGCGUUCCCGGGCCUU